rnacentral:rRNA from 1 species
GUGGGGAAUAUUGGACAAUGGGCGCAAGCCUGAUCCAGCCAUGCCACGUGUGUGAAGAAGGCCUUCGGGUUGUAAAGCACUUUUGUCCGGGAAGAAAUCUUCCAGGUUAAUACCCUGGGAGGCUGACGGUACCGGAAGAAUAAGCACCGGCUAACUUCGUGCCAGCAGCCGCGGUAAUACGAAGGGUGCAAGCGUUACUCGGAAUUACUGGGCGUAAAGCGUGCGUAGGUGGUUCGUUAAGUCUGCCGUGAAAGCGCCGGGCUCAACCUGGGAAUGGCGGUGGAUACUGGCGGGCUAGAGUGCGGUAGAGGGUGGUGGAAUUCCCGGUGUAGCAGUGAAAUGCGUAGAGAUCGGGAGGAACAUCUGUGGCGAAGGCGGCCACCUGGACCAGCACUGACACUGAGGCACGAAAGCGUGGGGAGCAAACAGGAUUAGAAACCCGAGUAGUCC